rnacentral:rRNA from 1 species
UGGGGAAUAUUGCACAAUGGGCGCAAGCCUGAUGCAGCCAUGCCGCGUGUAUGAAGAAGGCCUUCGGGUUGUAAAGUACUUUCAGCGGGGAGGAAGGGAGUAAAGUUAAUACCUUUGCUCAUUGACGUUACCCGCAGAAGAAGCACCGGCUAACUCCGUGCCAGCAGCCGCGGUAAUACGGAGGGUGCAAGCGUUAAUCGGAAUUACUGGGCGUAAAGCGCACGCAGGCGGUUGAUUGAGUCAGAUGUGAAAUCCCCGGGCUUAACCCGGGAAUUGCAUCUGAUACUGGUCAGCUAGAGUCUUGUAGAGGGGGGUAGAAUUCCAUGUGUAGCGGUGAAAUGCGUAGAGAUGUGGAGGAGUACCGGUGGCGAAGGCGGCCCCCUGGACAAAGACUGACGCUCAGGUGCGAAAGCGUGGGGGGCAAACAGG